CUACCGAUGCUUCACUAGGUUCAAAGAAGCUACUAAGGUUCAUGCAGAUGCAGAGAUAGAGCAUACUCACUUUGCACCAUUUCUUUUGUUACAAAUUCCUUUCAUCUGGCUUUGUCAAGCUCAACUGUAAUAGUAUUGGUGCAUAUAGUAAUGCUCCAUUAAGUAUAUGUUGUUAGCAGGACGUGAGACAAGAAACAUAGACCUGAAAUGGACUUCAGCAUCUUAUAUCAUGAGAUGGCACCAGCCGAAAGCAGGUCACUAUGAACUGAGUUAUGAUACAGAGAUGAGAUUGUCAAAACAGGCCAAGGUAUACAAUCACGCAACAAAUUGGCCAUUUGAAUUGGGAAUUCUAAUUUUGUUUCUUGUAUCAUUAUCCUCAAUCCUUCCUCUUUUCUGGAAACUAUGAUUUGCACAAGCACAUCAUCAUUCAGGUCAAGUAGUAAAUCAGCUUAAGUAGAGAUUUCUUCUCUAGGAUUUUAAAAGAACUGAAAUUUUUUGUUCUAUUGCUAAAUGGUCUGUGGCCAAUAUUUUUAAGCAUCAAUGAAUUGAGAACACAGGUCAAAGGGGAGCUGAUUUGAGAAGAUGCGUAGGCAGUAGUGGAGUACAGUAGACAACUACAGACAGGUGGGUUGGAGCUUGGAGAGUUGGAGCUUUGGGAGGCGAUGACUGGUGAAAACAUAUCUGAAUUUUGCAAUCUGAACCAUACAUCUGGUGGGCCAACGUUGACGAUGAAUGAUGAGUUGCUUGGACGAUACGCCACGUAUGCAUUUAUCGGGACUUCGGGUAAGGAAGCUUCCUGUGUGUUGCUUUAAGAAACCCCAACGCAAAGGCAGCGAGAGAUUGAGCAGAAAAUUAACCUACGAAGAAGAUAGGAAGGAGAAACUAGAGGGAGAAGGGCGCAGAGGCGUUGACUCCCGCGAGGCUCAUCAAUAUAGAACCUCUACAGUAUGUUAUACAAUCUUCCAAGCAUUGCCGGAACAGCGGGACCAUGGAGUCCUUGUGAUGCUAAAACAAUGUAAGGCUUGGCAAUGUAAUUGGAUGCACGAUAUAAACAAAACCAAACCAAACUAAACUAUACUGAUGAUUCAAUGCUUAUGAAAUACAUAUGUUAUAUUUUAGUGGUGAUUUUUGCUCCUGAUCCAUUCAAUUGUUUGGAAGACUUAAUCUCUGUUAAAUAAUGAAUCUAGGGUUUCUGGUCAUGCAUGUCUUUCUGGCCUAAGCACCAUGAAUAUAUGAAUUGCAGAGACACUGUCUGAAUUGUUAGUAGGGGAUUCAUUUUUCUGUAACACAUAUUCUAAUUAGCCCAUGCUUUAUGGUAAGGCUAAUCAAAUUCUCUUAUUGAAAGUGACAUUGAUUUUGUUGAAUAGUUUAACCAG